GACGAACGCUUGCGACGUGCCUAAGAAAUGCAAGUCGAACGAGGAGCUUCGGCUCCUAGUGGCGAACGGUCGCGUAACACGUGGGCAACCUGCCCUAAAGUGGGGGACAACAGUCCGAAAGGAUUGCUAAUACCGCAUGUGGAUCGCUGUGGCAUCACAGAGGAUCCAAAGCCGCAAGGCGCUUUAGGAUGGGCCCGCGGCCUAUCAGCUUGUUGGUGAGGUAACGGCUUACCAAGGCUACGACGGGUAGCUGGUCUGAGAGGACGGCCAGCCGGAUUGGGACUGAGAUACGGCCCAGACUCCUACGGGGGGCAGCAAUUAGGAAUCUUGCGCAAUGGGCGAAAGCCUGACGCAGCGACGUCGCGUGGGGGAUGAAGUCUUUCGGGACGUAAACCCCUUUUACCAGGGAAGAAAAAAAUGACGGUACCUGGUGAAUAAGCCCCGGCUAACUACGUGCCAGCAGCCGCGGUAAUAC
rnacentral:rRNA from 1 species